rnacentral:rRNA from 1 species
GACGAACCGUGCGAACGUUAUUCGGAAUCACUGGGCUUAAAGCGCGUGUAGGCGGGCCGCCACGUCGGCUGCUGAAAUCCCCCGGCUCGACCGGGGAAGUGGCACCGAUACGAGCGGCCUCGAGGGGGGUAGGGGGGUCUGGAACUUCCGGUGGAGCGGUGAAAUGCGUUGAGAUCGGAAGGAACGCCCGUGGCGAAAGCGAGGCCCUGGACCCUUACUGACGCUGAGACGCGAAAGCCAGGGGAGCGAACGGG